rnacentral:rRNA from 1 species
GACGAACGCUGGCGGCGUGCCUAAUACAUGCAAGUAGAACGCUGAAGAGAGGAGCUUGCUCUUCUUGGAUGAGUUGCGAACGGGUGAGUAACGCGUAGGUAACCUGCCUUGUAGCGGGGGAUAACUAUUGGAAACGAUAGCUAAUACCGCAUAACAAUGGAUGACACAUGUCAUUUAUUUGAAAGGGGCAAUUGCUCCACUACAAGAUGUACCUGCGUUGUAUUAGCUAGUAGGUGAGGUAAUGGCUCACCUAGGCGACGAUACAUAGCCGACCUGAGAGGGUGAUCGGCCACACUGGGACUGAGACACGGCCCAGACUCCUACGGGAGGCAGCAGUAGGGAAUCUUCGGAAAUGGGGGCAACCCUGACCGAGCAACGCCGCGUGAGUGAAGAAGGUUUUCGGAUCGUAAAGCUCUGUUGUAAGUCAAGAACGGGUGUGAGAGUGGAAAGUUCACACUGUGACGGUAGCUUACCAGAAAGGGACGGCUAACUACGUG